rnacentral:rRNA from 1 species
AGUGAACGCUGGCGGUAGGCCUAACACAUGCAAGUCGAACGGCAGCACAGGAGAGCUUGCUCUAUGGGUGGCGAGUGGAGGACGGGUGAGGAAUACAUCGGAAUCUACUCUGUCGUGGGGGAUAACGUAGGGAAACUUACGCUAAUACCGCAUAAGACCUACGGGUGAAAGCAGGGGAUCUUCGGACCUUGCGCGAUUGAAUGAGCCGAUGUCGGAUUAGCUAGUUGGCGGGGUAAAGGCCCACCAAGGCGACGAUCCGUAGCUGGUCUGAGAGGAUGAUCAGCCACACUGGAACUGAGACACGGUCCAGACUCCUACGGGAGGCAGCAGUGGGGAAUAUUGGACAAUGGGCGCAAGCCUGAUCCAGCCAUACCGCGUGGGUGAAGAAGGCCUUCGGGUUGUAAAGCCCUUUUGUUGGGAAAGAAAUCCAGCUGGCUAAUACCCGGUUGGGAUGACGGUACCCAAAGAAUAAGCACCGGCUAACUUCGUGCCAGCCGCCGCCGUAA